rnacentral:rRNA from 1 species
GAUGAACGCUAGCGGCAGGCUUAACACAUGCAAGUCGAGGGGUAUAGUUCUUCGGAAUUAGAGACCGGCGCACGGGUGCGUAACGCGUAUGCAAUCUACCUUUCACAGAGGGAUAGCCCCAGAGAAAUUUGGAUUAAUACCUCAUAGUAUAGCAGUUUCGCAUGAAACCACUAUUAAAGUCACAACGGUGAAAGAUGAGCAUGCGUCCCAUUAGCUAGUUGGUAAGGUAACGGCUUACCAAGGCAACGAUGGGUAGGGGUCCUGAGAGGGAGAUCCCCCCACACUGGUACUGAGACACGGACCAGACUCCUACGGGAGGCAGCAGUGAGGAAUAUUGGACAAUGGGCGCAACACUGAACCAGCCAUGCCGCGUGAAGGAUGAAGGCGCUCUGCGUUGUAAACUUCUUUUAAGUGGGAAGAAAAACUCAUAUUCAUAUGAGCCUGACGGUACCACUGGAAUAAGCACCGGCUAACUCCGUGCCAGCAGCCGACGG